rnacentral:rRNA from 1 species
GAGUUUGAUCAUGGCUCAGGAUGAACGCUAGCGGGAGGCUUAACACAUGCAAGUCGAGGGGUAUAAUUAGCAAUAGUUAGAGACCGGCGCACGGGUGAGUAACGCGUAUGCAACCUGCCCUUUACCGGGGGAUAGCCCGUAGAAAUGCGGAUUAAUACCCCAUAGUUCUGAGAGAUCGCAUGGUUUUUCAGAUAAAGUUUCGGUGGUAAAGGAUGGGCAUGCGUGACAUUAGCUAGUUGGAGAGGUAACGGCUCACCAAGGCUACGAUGUCUAGGGGUUCUGAGAGGAAGAUCCCCCACACUGGUACUGAGACACGGACCAGACUCCUACGGGAGGCAGCAGUGAGGAAUAUUGGUCAAUGGGCGAGAGCCUGAACCAGCCGUCCCGCGUGCAGGAAGAAUGCCCUAUGGGUUGUAAACUGCUUUUUCGCAUGAAUAACAUUUCGGACGUGUCCGGAACUGAAGGUAAUGCGUGAAUAAGCACCGGCUAACUCCGUGCCAGCAGCCGCG